UCCUACGGGUGGCUGCAGUGGGGAAUUUUGGACAAUGGGGGAAACCCUGAUCCAGCAACGCCGCGUGAAUGAAGAAGGCCUUCGGGUUGUAAAGUUCUUUUGUCAGGGAGCAAAGGGUGGGUGCUAAUACCAUCUAUCGCUGAGAGUACCUGAAGAAUAAGCACCGGCUAACUACGUGCCAGCAGCCGCGGUAAUACGUAGGGUGCAAGCGUUAAUCGGAAUUACUGGGCGUAAAGCGUGCGCAGGCGGAUGAUUAAGUUAGAAGUGAAAUCCCCGGGCUCAACCUGGGAACUGCUUUUAAGACUGGUCAUCUAGAGUUUGUCAGAGGGGGGUGGAAUUCCAAGUGUAGCAGUGAAAUGCGUAGAGAUUUGGAGGAACACCGAUGGCGAAGGCAGCCCCCUGGGAUAAAACUGACGCUCAUGCACGAAAGCGUGGGUAGCAAACAGGAUUAGAUACCCCGGUAGUCC
rnacentral:rRNA from 1 species